rnacentral:lncRNA from 1 species
UAUAGAAUAGUGGUGAAGAGCUCAGACUUUGGUGCCAUAUAACCGGGCUCUGCCACUUCCUGUGUGUCCUUAGACUCUCCGACGACUCCCAGUCCUCACUCCUCUCCAAGCCUGUCAGCAGCCUGUUUCAGAACUGGCCCAAACCACCUCUGCCGCCACUCCCCACCGGAACAGGGGUCUCCCCUACAGCCGCUGCGGCCCCAGGGGCCACCUCACCCUCAGCCUCCUCCUCCUCCACGUCCACCCGCCACCUCCAGGGCGUGGAGUUCGAGAUGCGGCCCCCUCUGCUCCGCCGGGCCCCCAGCCCCUCGCUGCUGCCCGCCUCGGAGCACAAGGUCAGCCCUGCGCCCAGGCCCUCGUCCCUGCCCAUCCUGCCUUCCGGACCCCUCUACCCAGGCCUCUUUGACAUCCGUGGCUCCCCA